rnacentral:misc_RNA from 1 species
GUAUUUUGAAUUAAGUAAUUCGUAAUAUUUUUCAGACAAAAGUUGUUAAAAAAAAUGGUUGAUGUAUAAAAACCUCGCCAAGAUUGACGAGAUCUAACAUUGCACACAAGGUGGAUAUGGAUUUUUAAAAAGUGCCAUAAAACACUUUAUUAUGAAUGAUCCUUCCGCAGGUUCACCUACGGAAA